AUUGAACGCUGGCGGCAGGCCUAACACAUGCAAGUCGAGCGGAUGAAGGGAGCUUGCUCCUGGAUUCAGCGGCGGACGGGUGAGUAAUGCCUAGGAAUCUGCCUGGUAGUGGGGGAUAACGUCCGGAAACGGGCGCUAAUACCGCAUACGUCCUGAGGGAGAAAGUGGGGGAUCUUCGGACCCCACGCUAUCAGAUGAGCCUAGGUCGGAUUAGCUAGUUGGUGGGGUAAAGGCCUACCAAGGCGACGAUCCGUAACUGGUCUGAGAGGAUGAACAGUCACACUGGAACUGAGACACGGUCCAGACUCCUACGGGAGGCAGCAGUGGGGAAUAUUGGACGAUGGGCGAAAGCCUGAUCCAGGCAUGCCGCGUGUGUGAAGAAGGUCUUCGGAUUGUAAAGCACUUUAAGUUGGGAGGAAGGGCAGUAAGUUAAUACCUUGCUGUUUUGACGUUACCAGCAGAAUAAGCACCGGCUAACUUCGUG
rnacentral:rRNA from 1 species